GAUGAACGCUGGCGGCGUGCCUAAUACAUGCAAGUCGAGCGAACGGACGAGAAGCUUGCUUCUCUGAUGUUAGCGGCGGACGGGUGAGUAACACGUGGAUAACCUACCUAUAAGACUGGGAUAACUUCGGGAAACCGGAGCUAAUACCGAAUGGUAUUUUGAACCGCAUGGUUCAAAAGUGAAAGACGGUCUUGCUGUCACUUAUAGAUGGAUCCGCGCUGCAUUAGCUAGUUGGUAAGGUAACGGCUUACCAAGGCAACGAUGCAUAGCCGACCUGAGAGGGUGAUCGGCCACACUGGAACUGAGACACGGUCCAGACUCCUACGGGAGGCAGCAGUAGGGAAUCUUCCGCAAUGGGCGAAAGCCUGACGGAGCAACGCCGCGUGAGUGAUGAAGGUCUUCGGAUCGUAAAACUCUGUUAUUAGGGAAGAACAUAUGUGUAAGUAACUGUGCACAUCUUGACGGUACCUAAUCAGAAAGCCACGGCUAACUACGUG
rnacentral:rRNA from 1 species